rnacentral:rRNA from 1 species
GACGAACGCUGGCGGCGUGCUUAACACAUGCAAGUCGAACGGAAAGGCCUGCUUUCCCUUGUGGAUUGCGGGUACUCGAGUGGCGAACGGGUGAGUAACACGUGAGUGAUCUGCCCCCAACUUGGGUAUAAGCCUGGGAAACUGGGUCUAAUUCCCGAUAGGACUGCAGGGUGGUGCCUGUGGUGGAAAACGAUUUUCUAGUGGUUGGGGAUGAGCUCGCGGCCUAUCAGCUUGUUGGUGGGGUAAUGGCCUACCAAGGCGGCGACGGGUAGCCGGCCUGGGGGGGGGGACGCCACAAUGGGGACUGGGGCCCGCCCAGGACCCGAGGGGGAGGCGGGGGGGGGGAAUAUUGCACAGGGGGGGGAAGCCUGAUGCACCGCGGCGGGGUGGGGGACCGCGGCGUUGGGGUGGUAACCUCCUUGGGACGGCGAGGAGCCCGCUGGUUGGGAGGGGUGGUGACGUUAGGGAAAGAAGAAGCACCGGCUAACUACGUG